ACCCUCUUAGUGUCACACCUGGAGAGUUUCCAGUACUCUACCAGUCUCGGCUAUGGGAGGACGAGUCAAGCAGAGGCAUACCCAUUCCAUUCCCAGCUUGGGCAGUGGCUAGUGAGUGAAGGCAAUCUGCUACAAGU